rnacentral:tRNA from 1 species
GCUAGCGUAGCUUAAAAUAAAGCACGGCACUGAAACUGCCAAGAUGGGCCCUAAUAAGCCCCGCACGCA